rnacentral:rRNA from 1 species
UACGGAGGGUCCAAGCGUUAUCCGGAAUUACUGGGCGUAAAGAGUUGCGUAGGUGGCAAUAUAAGUUGGUAGUGAAAGCGUGAGGCUCAACCUCAUAAACAUUAUCAAAACUGUAUAGCUUGAGUAUGGGAGAGGUAGAUGGAAUUUCUAGUGUAGGAGUGAAAUCCGUAGAUAUUAGAAGGAACACCGAUGGCGUAGGCAGUCUACUAGCCUAUUACUGACACUAAGGCACGAAAGCGUGGGGAGCGAACGGG